AUGGCAAUUUCCAGUAGCUUGAGCAAAUUGAAGUAUAUAAUGUCAAGUUCAGCAACUGAAGCAUGUAACAACUCGGUUCUACUUCUUGGCCCUCGUGGUUGUGGAAAAGUUCCGAUUUUGGAGCUGGUUAUCAACGAUUUACUGCAAGAAUAUCUUGAUAUGAUCUGUGUGAUUAAACUAAAUGGACUCUUGCACAGUGACGAUAAUUGUGCUUUAAAGGAGAUUGCAAGGCAAUUAUGUAUGGAGCAUCACUUGAUGUUCUCAAAAAUGGUACUGUCAUCAUUUGAUGAUAACUCCCAGUUUGUAUUAUCCAUGUUAAGGGAGUGCGGGUUGGCACAUAAAACCAUUAUCUUUGUGUUGGAUGAGUUUGACCUUUUUACACAGGGUAAACAGCGAUUACUCUAUAGCUUGCUAGAUGUAAUGCAGUCUGUAACGUCGCAAGCUGUUGUCAUUGGUGUGAGUUGCAGAUUGGAUGCCGAUCAACUCUUAGAGAAGAGAGUAAGGUCUCGUUUCUCACAUAGAAAGCUGUUGUUUCUACCCUCUUCGCAAGAAGACUUGCAAAAAAUUUUGUAGCACGCUUUACUACUGCCAACAGAGUCAGAACUUCCUUCUCAAUAUGUAGCUGCUUAUAACACAAAGCUUCUUAAUACUUUGUCGGAUGACAAAUUCAAAGACAUCAUUACAUCAUUAUGUGAGUGUGAUUCAACUUUGAACCAUCUAUUGAGAUUUCUGUUUGCUGCUGUGUGCCAUAUGGAUACAAAAUCUGGUUUUUUAUCACUUGAUAACUUUAAGACAGCACUCUCAAGUAUUCAACGGCAACCCAAGUUGGAAGCCUUGAAAGAUUGCUCCAUUUUAGAGCUAUAUAUUCUUGUUUGCUUGAGGAGGUUGGAAGUCAAAAAGCAAGAGACUACCAACUUCAAUUCAGUAAUGAAAGAGUACAAAACCGUACAAGAUUCGUUCCAAGCAAGUGAUUAUUAUGCACGGAAUGUAUGCCUCCGGGCAUUUGAACAUCUUUUACAACGCCAAUUGAUCUCUUUGGUUGACAAUAGAGGGCAUGGCCAAUCUGUUGAGUUUCGUCCAGUGAGGCUUUUGAUCUCCUCAUAUGAACUACAUCAGGGACUAAAAUCAUACCGUUCAUGUCCAGCAAUUCUACAUAAAUUAAUUGACCGUGGAGUUUGAAGUGUAACC